rnacentral:rRNA from 1 species
UUCGAAGCAACGCGCAGAACCUUACCAGCCUUUGACAUCCUAGGACGACUUCUGGAGACAGACCUUUCUUCCCGUUCGGGACCUAGUGACAGGUGCUGCAUGGCUGUCGUCAGCUCGUGUCGUGAGAUGUUGGGUUAAGUCCCGCAACGAGCGCAACCCUCGUCCUUAGUUGCCAUCAUUAAGUUGGGCACUUUAAGGAAACUGCCGGUGAUAAGCCGGAGGAAGGUGGGGAUGACGUCAAGUCCUCAUGGCCCUUACAGGCUGGGCUACACACGUGCUACAAUGGCAUCUACAGUGGGCAGCUAUUCCGCAAGGAUGCGCUAAUCUCCAAAAGAUGUCUCAGUUCGGAUUGUCCUCUGCAACUCGAGGGCAUGAAGGCGGAAUCGCUAGUAAUCGCGGAUCAGCAUGCCGCGGUGAAUACGUUCCCAGGCCUU